rnacentral:rRNA from 1 species
CUGCGGUGCAUUAGCUAGUUGGUGAGGUAACGGCUCACCAAGGCAACGAUGCAUAGCCGACCUGAGAGGGUGAACGGCCACACUGGGACUGAGACACGGCCCAGACUCCUACGGGAGGCAGCAGUAGGGAAUCUUCCGCAAUGGACGAAAGUCUGACGGAGCAACGCCGCGUGAACGAUGAAGGUUUUCGGAUCGUAAAGUUCUGUUGUUAGGGAAGAACAAACUUCGUUUGAAUAAGGCGGAGUCAUGACGGUACCUAACGAGAAAGCCACGGCUAACUACGUGCCAGCAGCCGCGGUAAUACGUAGGUGGCGAGCGUUAUCCGGAAUUAUUGGGCGUAAAGCGCGCGCAGGUGGUUUCUUAAGUCUGAUGUGAAAGCCCUCGGCUUAACCGAGGAACUGCAUCGGAAACUGUUUUUCUUGAGUGCAGAAGAGGAGAGUGGAACUCCAUGUGUAGCGGUGGAAUGCGUAGAUAUAUGGAAGAACACCAGUGGCGAAGGCGGCUCUCUGGUCUGCAACUGACGCUGAGGCUCGAAAGCAUGGGUAGCGAACAGGAUUAGAUACCCUGGUAGUCCAUGCCGUAAACGAUGAGUGCUAAGUGUUGGGAGGUUUCCGCCUCUCAGUGCUGCAGCUAACGCA